rnacentral:rRNA from 1 species
CGUACACUCCUGCGGGAGGCAGCAGUGGGGAAUAUUGGACAAUGGGCGCAAGCCUGAUCCAGCCAUGCCGCGUGAGUGAUGAAGGCCCUAGGGUUGUAAAGCUCUUUCACCGGUGAAGAUAAUGACGGUAACCGGAGAAGAAGCCCCGGCUAACUUCGUGCCAGCAGCCGCGGUAAUACGAAGGGGGCUAGCGUUGUUCGGAUUUACUGGGCGUAAAGCGCACGUAGGCGGACUAUUAAGUCAGGGGUGAAAUCCCGGGGCUCAACCCCGGAACUGCCUUUGAUACUGGUAGUCUUGAGUUCGAGAGAGGUGAGUGGAAUUCCGAGUGUAGAGGUGAAAUUCGUAGAUAUUCGGAGGAACACCAGUGGCGAAGGCGGCUCACUGGCUCGAUACUGACGCUGAGGUGCGAAAGCGUGGGGGGCAAACAGGAUUAGAAACCCCGGUAGUCCCAUGAU